AUUGAACGCUGGCGGCAGGCCUAACACAUGCAAGUCGAACGGUAACAGGAAGCAGCUUGCUGCUUUGCUGACGAGUGGCGGACGGGUGAGUAAUGUCUGGGAAACUGCCUGAUGGAGGGGGAUAACUACUGGAAACGGUAGCUAAUACCGCAUAACGUCGCAAGACCAAAGAGGGGGACCUUCGGGCCUCUUGCCAUCGGAUGUGCCCAGAUGGGAUUAGCUAGUAGGUGGGGUAACGGCUCACCUAGGCGACGAUCCCUAGCUGGUCUGAGAGGAUGACCAUCCACCCUGGAACUGAAGGCCGGUCCAGACUCCUACGGGAGGCAGCAGUCGCGAAUAUUGGACAAUGGGCGCAAGCCUGAUGCAGCCAUGCCGCGUGUAUGACGACGGCCUUCGGGUUGUAAAGUACUUUCAGCGGGGAGGAAGGGAGUAAAGUUAAUACCUGUGCUCAUUGGCGUUACCCGCAGAAGAAGCACCGGCUAACUCCGUG
rnacentral:rRNA from 1 species